UAUUCGCAACAGUCUGAUCUUGUAGCGAGGCCCGAUCACGUUGCCCGUGUUGAUGCGCAGGGAGAUCUUGUGCACGUGCGGCAGGUCUUCGUCGAACUGGGCCAGAAGACGCGUGGAUGUGAACUGCUCGAAGCGAAGAAGCUUGCUAGUCGGGGAGCAAAAAAAUCAGAGCAACAUGUUACGUCAUGAUGAUAACAGACAUUUGAAAACAUUUUUUUUUCUUUACAAUCAAUAAAUUUAAUGAGCUAAAUGAACGCAACAAGACUCGAGAAAAAUUUUCACGGUUAAGAAUUGCCCAUAGAUGCCACAAGAUGGCGACAAAAUACUAGUUUUAAAUUAGGGUUUUUCCCUGAGUGCGAAAUUACCGGUAGUUCAAAUUGGCAAAUAUUUCAGUGAAUAAUUGGCGGAAAGGUUCCCAAAAAAUUUUAGAAUGGGAAAAUAAUUGGAACGGUGUUCCUUGUCCUUAUGACACUGACGUAGACGAUGUCAUGAAUUUAAAAUUAGGACCAUAACGUCAAAAGAAUGUAUGGACGAUGUGUUUUGUGAGCAGGCUUAACUCACUGGUCGAUGCGGGCCUCGGUGACGUUCCUGCCGCUGUGGAGGCGGAUGUAAACGACCCCCCAGCGGAGGUACUGGUUCCACGUCACCAUGUCCACUCUGUAAUUCAGCUCUGCGAUCAACCACAAAAAUGCAUGCUGAAGGCCCCACCGAGCUGCGGGCAGGAAGCGGGCUUGAAGGCCUCGCACUGCAGACAGCGUCCGUCCAGGAAGUCUGCGUAGGAUGCGCACGGAUACGCCGUCAGGCUGCACGUGCCGUUGAGGGCGCACAGUCCAUGUCAGUGUGCAGCACGUCGACAAACAUGGCAUCCGACGGGUCCAGCCUCUCAUCUGGUGUGGCGCUAGUGAAGAGAGGCCCGGCCGGGUCUAAACCUGAAAGUACAAAGAAGGCACUUGAGAUGUUUCAUAGUAGGAGUGGACAGAUAUCGUAGGUUGGCACCCACAAACCCGGCGAGGUGCGCCCCAAGGCUGACGCCGAUGAGGUGCAUGGAGUCCAGUGAGGCUCCUUCCUCCUGAGGAGAAACUCAAGAAUGAAUGAGGCUUCCUUCCGAGACCGAUUGAAGGUUGUGUGCCAGCAUCAUUCAGACCGUGAUAGCA